rnacentral:lncRNA from 1 species
GGGUUGCAAUGACUAGGUUCACCAACAUUUUCAUACUAAGAUUGAGAAGGAGAUAGAAACCCCUCAGAGAUAACAAUCAAAGGGAUUUUCCUUUCUUUUUUCGUCCUUACAUGUAUCGUUCAUAACAGUCACAAUUUUAGGACCAGAUGGGGGUUUCACCAUAUGUCUUGGCACAAGGCCCAUCAUACCCGAAUUUGACCAUCGAGUCAUAUUCUUGAGCCAAGGCCCAAUAGUAUGACCCUCUCCACCAUUAUCAAAGGAAAGGUAAAGGGUCAAUCU